rnacentral:rRNA from 1 species
UUUAUGGAGAGUUUGAUCCUGGCUCAGGAUGAACGCUGGCGGCGUGCCUAAUACAUGCAAGUCGAGCGAACGGACGAGAAGCUUGCUUCUCUGAUGUUAGCGGCGGACGGGUGAGUAACACGUGGAUAACCUACCUAUAAGACUGGGAUAACUUCGGGAAACCGGAGCUAAUACCGGAUAAUAUUUUGAACCGCAUGGUUCAAAAGUGAAAGACGGUCUUGCUGUCACUUAUAGAUGGAUCCGCGCUGCAUUAGCUAGUUGGUAAGGUAACGGCUUACCAAGGCAACGAUGCAUAGCCGACCUGAGAGGGUGAUCGGCCACACUGGAACUGAGACACGGUCCAGACUCCUACGGGAGGCAGCAGUAGGGAAUCUUCCGCAAUGGGCGAAAGCCUGACGGAGCAACGCCGCGUGAGUGAUGAAGGUCUUCGGAUCGUAAAACUCUGUUAUUAGGGAAGAACAUAUGUGUAAGUAACUGUGCACAUCUUGACGGUACCUAAUCAGAAAGCCACGGCUAACUACGUGCCAGCAGCCGCGGUAAUACGUAGGUGGCAAGCGUUAUCCGGAAUUAUUGGGCGUAAAGCGCGCGUAGGCGGUUUUUUAAGUCUGAUGUGAAAGCCCACGGCUCAACCGUGGAGGGUCAUUGGAAACUGGAAAACUUGAGUGCAGAAGAGGAAAGUGGAAUUCCAUGUGUAGCGGUGAAAUGCGCAGAGAUAUGGAGGAACACCAGUGGCGAAGGCGACUUUCUGGUCUGUAACUGACGCUGAUGUGCGAAAGCGUGGGGAUCAAACAGGAUUAGAUACCCUGGUAGUCCACGCCGUAAACGAUGAGUGCUAAGUGUUAGGGGGUUUCCGCCCCUUAGUGCUGCAGCUAACGCAUUAAGCACUCCGCCUGGGGAGUACGACCGCAAGGUUGAAACUCAAAGGAAUUGACGGGGACCCGCACAAGCGGUGGAGCAUGUGGUUUAAUUCGAAGCAACGCGAAGAACCUUACCAAAUCUUGACAUCCUUUGACAACUCUAGAGAUAGAGCCUUCCCCUUCGGGGGACAAAGUGACAGGUGGUGCAUGGUUGUCGUCAGCUCGUGUCGUGAGAUGUUGGGUUAAGUCCCGCAACGAGCGCAACCCUUAAGCUUAGUUGCCAUCAUUAAGUUGGGCACUCUAAGUUGACUGCCGGUGACAAACCGGAGGAAGGUGGGGAUGACGUCAAAUCAUCAUGCCCCUUAUGAUUUGGGCUACACACGUGCUACAAUGGACAAUACAAAGGGCAGCGAAACCGCGAGGUCAAGCAAAUCCCAUAAAGUUGUUCUCAGUUCGGAUUGUAGUCUGCAACUCGACUACAUGAAGCUGGAAUCGCUAGUAAUCGUAGAUCAGCAUGCUACGGUGAAUACGUUCCCGGGUCUUGUACACACCGCCCGUCACACCACGAGAGUUUGUAACACCCGAAGCCGGUGGAGUAACCUUU